CUGCCCGAUGGAGGGGGAUAACUACUGGAAACGGUAGCUAAUACCGCAUAACGUCGCAAGACCAAAGAGGGGGACCUUCGGGCCUCUUGCCAUCGGAUGUGCCCAGAUGGGAUUAGCUAGUAGGUGGGGUAACGGCUCACCUAGGCGACGAUCCCUAGCUGGUCUGAGAGGAUGACCAGCCACACUGGAACUGAGACACGGUCCAGACUCCUACGGGAGGCAGCAGUGGGGAAUAUUGCACAAUGGGCGCAAGCCUGAUGCAGCCAUGCCGCGUGUAUGAAGAAGGCCUUCGGGUUGUAAAGUACUUUCAGCGAGGAGGAAGGUGUUGUGGUUAAUAACCGCAGCAAUUGACGUUACUCGCAGAAGAAGCACCGGCUAACUCCGUGCCAGCAGCCGCGGUA
rnacentral:rRNA from 1 species